rnacentral:misc_RNA from 1 species
CUUUUUACUUCCGCCACUGAAAUAGGUCAAAAUGGUGCGGAUGAAUGUAUUGGCAGAUGCCCUCAAAUGCAUAGCAGCAGCUGAGAAAAAGGGCAAACGUCAGGUGCUAAUAAGGCCCUGCUCAAAAGUCAUCGUCAGAUUUCUCACAGUGAUGAUGAAGCAUGGUUACAUUGGGGAAUUUGAAAUUGUUGAUGACCACAGAAAUGGCAAAAUUGUUGUCAAUCUUACAGGGCGAUUAAACAAAUGUGGUGUCAUCAGUCCUAGAUUUGACAUUUCCAUUAGAGACAUGGAAAGAUGGACAACAAAUUUAUUGCCAUCUCGACAGUUUGGGUAUGUUUAUUUUUGUUAUAUAUGGACUUGCACAUUUUCCAGUGUCUGUCUGUAAUAAUACUACAUAUCAUUUUGUAAAGUAUAGCUCAAUAUAUUUUAUCGAUGACACACAUGAGGACAAUGUACUAUUGGAGCACAAGUGGGGUGUCCAUAAUAACAUGAACUAAAAAUGAUGUGAAAAUGUCAAUAUUUAGUAUUUAUUGAUACAAUUGCUGAAAGUUAUUUAAGGAAAAAGGAAUCAUUCUAUGAAUGUUAUGAGGUGAUAAUCUGGGUCAGGACGUGAUCAAAUCCAAUAAAGCCUGAAGGGCUUUAUGAUAGAUUUGAUCUCACCCAGACAGAAAUUACCACCUCAUAAAUUCAAAAAAUGAUUCCUUAUUACUUAUGUAAUUUUCAGCCAUAUAGGAUCAAAUGUUUAAAUAAGCAACGCCGCUGGCACCCCAAUUAUGUGUCAUUUAAAGUUAUUUGUGUAGUACAAAAUCUUGAUAUGAAGUGUUAUCACAGGCAAAGACACUGAAAAAUGUAAAUAUAAGUAAUAAGAAAUCAUUCUUUGAAUAUUAUGAAGUGAACAUUGCCAUUUGGGUAUAAAUAAAUCUUAGAGUAUCACACCGGUAAUUGUUUUCACUAUAUAGCACUAUAGAGGGGGAAACAAUUCUUAAAAAUCGGUGUGUAUUUCUCAUAUCAAAAUGUUCAGAGGAAAUGUUAUUUGUUACCUAUCUAAUCAGCUAACACCAUAAAAGGGCAAAUGAUAUGGCAUUUCUCAAAAUAUCUAGCUCAAAACAUGGUCUACCCUCAAAACUACGUGUUUUCCGUUUGUAUGUAAACAGACUGCACACUCCCCAGGAAGCUGCUGCAUGCCCUGAAAGAAGUAGUCCCUGUGAAAUAAAGAUCACAACCUAACAAAAUACAUGAAAUAUCCUUCUCAGUUGUACAAAAAAUUAAAAAAAUGAGUGAAAGGAAAAUGUAAAAAUGCAGUCAAGGAAAAAAAUAAUUCUGAAGUAUAUAUGGAACUACAAUUAAACUAAGUUCGUUUUGAUUGGUCGAUUACCGGUGUGAUACCUUGAAAAGCCUAUCAGGCUUUAUUGGAUUUGAUGCUGCUCCGACCUUUAUGAUCACCACAUAUUACUUUGAUUUUUCAUUCUUUAAUUCAAUGUAUUUCGCUGGCACUGCACUCUCUCUUACACUACUUAAAUUGUUAAAACUGCAAAGCAAUGUAGAAUACACUUGACCCUUUUUCAUUUAUAAAUAUACUAUUUCCACUUUGCAAAUGUUUAUAAAACUAUGCACUCAACAGAUCAAUUUUGAAUCUUGAAAUAGAUUUCUGUAUGAUGGUAAAUCAUGAGAAAAAGUAGUUAAUGAAUUGCUCAUAUAUUUGCUAGAAGUUACUUAUUGUCUAUAUCAUUGAAUGAUUUCUUUAAAUGCCGUCAUGUGAGUGACUGCAGUGCUGUAAGGUGAGCAGACAAAUUGAAUAACAAAGCUCCUUGGCAUGUUGUGAUAGUUUGUCGGCGCACCUAAUGGCAGUCACUGACUCAAGGACAUCAAGCAUAAAUCAUUUAAUGCUUAUAUUUAUAUUCCCUUGGCCCUUGCUGAUAAAGUCAAUUAUUUUAUUGAAUAAGUCAGUAUAAAUUGCAGAUUAUGGAGGGAAUAAAUUUUUAACAGCUUUUUUGUUUUUUCUAAAACUGGUUUAAACUGGUCAUUACAUUAGACUGUUGAGAUGAGCAUUGAAUGUAUAAUCCAAUUCUGAAGUCUGCAUAAAAACCCCAGAGGUGUGUUCAGUGGGGCAAGUAAUCACAAGGGAUCAGCAAAAUUUGUGUUAUGGGUAUAGAGGAUUUUGAUGACCGCUUCACAAGCACCUGCUCUUCUGAACGUGUCUGUGGCUUUUAAACCCAAUGGUAUAUUAAAUAAUACAAUAUUUAAAGUUUUUGGUAUGAUUUAGAAAUUCUUGCUAUUUUAUAUUUCAGAUUUAUUGUUAUGACAACGUCAGGGGGUAUAAUGGAUCAUGAAGAAGCCAGACGGAAACAUUUAGGAGGAAAAAUUCUUGGAUUCUUUUUCUGAGAAUUCCAAAUGUAUCAUUGCACUAAUAAAGUGCAGAAAGU